GCGGCUUCUGCCAAGGCCGGCGCGCCUGCGCGCUCCUGCGUGUGCCUUUGGAGCUCGUACAGGCGGCUUCCCCGGCUCUCCGGUGGUGGGAGGACAGGGUUCUGCGGUGCCCUUUGUCGACCCCGCUGUGCAGGGCAGGGAAGGUCAGGAUCGCGAAGAGCCAAGUUCGAGCUCCGAUAACUCUCCGUGCCCUUAGAGGGUGGGGCGGGGAGGCGUGACUGCCCUUGAUGAUGGAGACAUUUAUUAUAAAAUCAUUUCUCGUGGAACAAGAACAUGUACUUUCAUGGUGCAAGGCUGCCUGAUGUUUCCCAGGUUUCAAUGGCCCAGGCAGAUAAAGAAAACUCAGCAAGGUCAGAAGAAAGAAGAACAGAUCUAUCCUUAAGUAGGAAAAAUAACCGUGUUCCAAGUAUACAGAACGGGAACAAAUGAAGUAUUUCUGGUCAGAGUUUCCAAGUGGAUAUGGUUAUUACCGAGAAAGGCAGACUCACGGACCCAGCUCCCCACUCGGCCACGUAAGAAUGGGCCUUGGACCUGGAACACUUCCUUACCAAGGUAUGAAGAGCCCACACAGCCUGUGCUGGGUUGACUGCCUCAUGUGGGAGUAUCUUUCCCUGUUUCAUGCUUAAUGAAUGUUCCUUCACUCUGCUUAAACCUGUGUGCCAGUGACCCACAGGCACACACCUAGCUUUCAGUAUUUCAGACACCAUGGGGAGUGGUCAGAGUUCUGCUGUGACACGAGAAGGGUGUGUAUAGGCCAAUUGCCCUGCACUGGCUGCCCAGGGGACCCGCUGGCCAUGGGGGACCGACCCCCACUAUCGAAGCUGGUCUUGCUCUGUGUUUUCUCCAUGUAAGUCAAACAUCAUUCCAUUUAGUGCUUGACCGUGUUGUGUUUUCCUUGGCAACUCCAGUACCAUCGUGCGAUGGGCAGAAGUGUUUAGAGUCCUCUGUUAGCUGGUGUGCAGUGUUUUGCUCCCCUGGGAUUGAUAGCUGGCGCACAGUGUUCUGCUUGACAGUGAUAUAUAGUUAUAUUUUGCACAAAAGUAUAGUGAGUGCCUUAUCUUUAGAUAGGCAGAAUGGUGAGUAAAUUCCUUAGCAUCAGUAGUUGUAUUAGUUGGAACUUUUCAAAACAGAUGAUAAAGCAAACAAAAAGGACUUUAGCUAAACAGGGAUCUAUUAGAAGUGUCUUGGGAUAAUUCAUUGCACCAUUUUCUCAAUGGGAUAGUGAUGUGUUUGGUGGAAAGAUGCCCAUAGACAGAGUUAAAGGAAUGUGUUAUCUCUGAUGUCAAAAGACACAGAAACUUAGCUUCAUGCGACUUAGCUUCAUCUUCUGCAGGAGAUGAUGCAGCUGGCAUCCUUGAUUCCUCCAAGAUCCCUUUAAGCCAGUGGGCACAGAGUGACUAUUUUACUGGGUGGGAGAAAUGCUCACCUGCUUCUUCUCUUGAAGUCUUUUUACUCUCUUAGCCCAUUUCAGUCAUACUGGAGAGCCUGGCUACCUGCUUGCCUACUUGCCAGAUAUAAGAAACGGACACAAAACAACUCAUUUGCCAUGAGACUUGGGACAGUAAAUGUUCAUUUACCUCAAGUUUCUGGUUCUGAGACUUCAGACCUGCUUGAAGUCCAUUCCAUACUUCUAGAAUAGAGAUCAGAACCAACAAACCAGUCUUGAGGAAGCAAGAACCAGGGUGGCCCUGGGAACUUCAGCGAUAAGAUGGGGGUGUCCCCUCUGCUCAAGACUACUUCCCUCCCUGCCUCUGCCUCUCUGUGCAGGUUUCAGCCAGGAUGUUGAAACCCUGCUUGAUGGCCGCUCCAGGGCUCACAUCCUUUCAGCACAGAUACCUGGAAAGAAACAGUUCCCUUCCCUUAGGGCUGUUUUGGUGGAAAUAUCCAAAGCAAGCU
ensembl:lncRNA